rnacentral:rRNA from 1 species
CGGCGGACGGGUGAGUAACACGUGGGUAACCUACCUAUAAGACUGGGAUAACUUCGGGAAACCGGAGCUAAUACCGGAUAAUAUUUCGAACCGCAUGGUUCGAUAGUGAAAGAUGGCUUUGCUAUCACAUAUAGAUGGACCCGCGGCGUAUUAGCUAGUUGGUAAGGUAACGGCUUACCAAGGCAACGAUACGUAGCCGACCUGAGAGGGUGAUCGGCCACACUGGAACUGAGACACGGUCCAG